AUACGGAGGAUGCAAGCGUUAUCCGGAUUUAUUGGGUUUAAAGGGUGCGUAGGCGGUUUGCUAAGCGGGAGGUGAAAUGCCGGCGCUCAACGUCGGAAGUGCCUCCCGAACUGGUGGACUUGAAUGACUCUGCCGUGGGAGGAAUGUGUAGUGUAGCGGUGAAAUGCUUAGAGAUUACACAGAACACCGAUUGAGAAGGCAUCUCACGAAGGGUUGAUUGACGCUGAGGCACGAAAGCGUGGGGAUCAAACAGGAUUAGAUACCCUGGUAGUCCACGCAGUAAACGAUGAUGGCUAACCGCUGGGCUUAUCAGUUCAGUGGCCAAGCGAAAGCGAUAAGCCAUCCACCUGGGGAGUACGACCGCAAGGUUGAAACUCAAAGGAAUUGACGGGG
rnacentral:rRNA from 1 species